UCCCAUUGAGAUCAAUCCUAAGGACAAAAAGAACAACAAACACAAAAACAAAACCUUGAACUGUUCUCAGUAGUCAUAUUGUUGGUGGUAGAGUUGGUAUUGCUAUUUUGAGACUACUGUGUUGUAGGAUAAAGAAAAGUGAUUAUUUGGUUUCAUUGAGAACUAUACUCUUAACGAGCAUGCUGCCUUCAAGCAUCUGUUUAACAAAGCACAUCUUGCACCGCCCUUAAUCCAUUUAACCCUGAGUGGACACAGCACAUGUUUCAGAGAGCACGGGGUUGGGGGUAAGGUUAUAGAUUAACAGCAUUCCAAGGCAGAAGAAUUUUUCUUAGUACAGAACAAAAUGGAGUCUCCCAUGUCUACUUCUUUCUACACAGACACAGUAAUAAUCUGAUCUCUUCUUUCUUUUUCCCACACU
rnacentral:lncRNA from 10 species